ACAGCUGUGCAAGCAUAACUACUCGUAACCGUUAGUAGUUCAUAUCAUUUAUCCUUCUAUAAUGGACGUGCCUGUAUGCUGUCUGAUAUUCUUUUUUACUGCGGCAGUUCCAGUGGGGUCCCGGAAUGGAACACGUCUUUUCCAUCCAGCCCGUGGGUGCGUGAAAGGAAGAAAUCUAAUGUUCAGAGAGCAUCCAUGCGUGACGUACUGUCGAGAAAGAUGGGGUGAGCCAACCAGUGAGCGAUAUCAGCCACCGUUUGCUUCUGCCAUUUGCAGAUUCCGCCGAUGUUUAUGUACCAUCAAUGUUUGGUAUUGGCCACUCCUCACGAGAUCAGAAAAAGCCAGGCAUAUAUGUUUUUUUGAAAUCGUGUGCGCAAGAGUAUUCAGGAAACUUGAGAGUCUUUGUCAAAACACUACAAAACGUUGCGUCCAUGAAACUCCGUGACGCACAUGAAUUAUAUAUUUACAGUGAAAUCACCAGGCCACGUACCUCUUUUGAGGCGUUUAAAAAUGUCCGUUCCCAUUUCAUUACAAAUGAAUACUAUUCCUUGAAGUUUCCACAACAUUUCCUUUGCCUUUAGAAGAAAAAUCACGGAAGUUUUCAAGAAAAGACGUUGAGUAGUUUUCCAUUCACAAGAUAAAGUAUGGGUCUGGUAGAUUUACCGUUCGGUAAGCACGGUUGCACAAUCGAGAUGUGCACAGUCUGAAGCCACCAUGAUACUGCCGAAAACAUAGUAGAGGGGUCCAUGCACGGACCACCAUUUAUAUAUACGUUUCAGAAAAAUAUUCUGUCAUAGAGCAGAUUCACAGGAUUCUUCCUGGGACCGCUAUAUAGAUUCUGGACAUUUUCUCUGAUACUCUUAACGUGGUUUUCGUGUGAUUUUGCCCGUUAAAAUAGUCUACUCAGUUAGAUGUACCUCAUGUCACAUGCGAAAAAACGCACUUGAAGCAGAAUAUACUCUGCAGAGAGCAAGUAUUGAACUCAAUUCCUGAAUGACGUAAUAAUAAAAACUGCAUUUGAGGUCAAUGAGAUAGAAUGUAGAGGGCGAAUGUCACCAUUUAUGAUUUAAAAUUAUACUUUCUAUUAUAAGGAGGAACAAAAUCCAAAGGUGCAUUUUUUAAAGUACCCAUCUGCAAGGCGACUGAAAAUUGUUAUAAAUUGUCAGCCAAAUCUACAUGGCGGCUUUCUGCUUAAAUAGCAUCUUUACUAGCGUUAUAUUAAAGAUAACAAACGUUGGACAAAGAGGAUGACAUCUCCCGCCCUUGUUUAUUUUACGUUACUCAAUUGGCAGAAAAUAAUAUCCCAACCAUACGACGUACAACGGUGUGGUGUCAUCGGGGUAACACGUUUAUCGCCGUAAAAGGGAACGAACGUGAAAACGCCUUCAAAUAGGCCUAUAUGCAACUUUAACAACCAUUAAGUAGCAAUAGUUGUAUCCAAGCGCCGUCAUUUACGGAGCGUUGGGUCAAACAAUUAAUGAUGCACUACGGGUCAAUUUAAUAGAGCCCCGCUGCCAUUCUUAGGAAAACCAGCGCAUGAUUUUGUUGCCAAAUUUCUACCUGUGAAACAUUAAUGUUUUCAGAAGAAAAUUGAACGUUUUUCCUGAAAAUUUUUAGAAACGCUAGAAUUCCAGAGGUAUAAACAGGAUAGUUUUUAAAGAAAGCUGUUAUUAAUGUUUCCAUGAUCGAGAGACAAAAUGAUGCCAAUCCCAAAGCUCUAUACAACCAUGACGAAUAUUGUUCUUAAAAUGACGAAUACCUGUGUGGAAUAAAUCACUGUGCGGAAAAGUCCGUGGACCUGGCGUGAUCCUGUCAAUUUGUAUUAAUUUGAAUAAUUAUUACACGCCAAUCACAUUUUUUUUCGUCUUCAGCUGUUGGGUUUUUCUCUUGUAAGUUUGAUUCUCACUAAAUGUUAAUCCUGGAUUUUGAUCCAUUAGAGACAUUCAAUACUUUUAAUCAAAAACGAACAAGCAAGUUGUAUUAGACUUGUUUGAUAUAUUCUAAUAAAUUCUUUUUUCACAUGGGACUUACUUAAGAGCAAAUUUCUAUAGUGCAGGAAAGAUAUGCAAAUCAAAAUUUACGUCCAAGACACUCAUAGUGAGACAGCUCAAUGCGUCCAUCUUAACUGCAAUCGAUUUCUGUGAAAUUCUAAAUGUAUCACAUUAUUUGGAUUGAGUUUAAGAGAAAAGAAACAGUUCAACAGCCGAAA